rnacentral:rRNA from 1 species
AUUGAACGCUGGCGGCAUGCCUUACACAUGCAAGUCGAACGGCAGCACGGGUGCUUGCACCUGGUGGCGAGUGGCGAACGGGUGAGUAAUACAUCGGAACGUACCUUAUCGUGGGGGAUAACGCAGCGAAAGCUGUGCUAAUACCGCAUACGCCCUGAGGGGGAAAGCGGGGGAUCGCAAGACCUCGCGCGAUUAGAGCGGCCGAUGCCUGAUUAGCUAGUUGGUGGGGUAAAAGCCCACCAAGGCGACGAUCAGUAGCUGGUCUGAGAGGACGAUCAGCCACACUGGGACUGAGACACGGACCAGACUCCUACGGGAGGCAGCAGUGGGGAAUUUUGGACAAUGUGGGCAACCCUGUUCCAGCAAUGCCGCGUGAGUGAAGAAGGCCUUCGGGUUGUAAAGCUCUUUUGUCAGGGAAGAAACACCGGCUCUAACACAGUCCGGGAAUGACGGUACCUGAAGAAUAAGCACCGGCUAACUACGUGCCAGCCGCCGCAGUAA